rnacentral:RNase_P_RNA from 1 species
UCAGUCGGUCGGGCAGCCGCGCCUGUCAUGUGCCGAAAGGCGGCAGGUGAGGAAAGUCCGGGCUCCAAGGAAACACGAUGCCGGGUAACGCCCGGCGGGGGCGACCCCAGGGAAAGUGCCACAGAAAGCAAACCGCCCCGUCUUCCGUACCGUUUCGGGUAAACGGCAGGGAUGACGGGGUAAGGUGAAAGGGUGGGGUAAGAGCCCACCGCGCCGGCAGCAAUGCAGGCGGCACGGUAAACCCCAUCGGGAGCAAAACCGAAUAGGGACGGCGCGUCGGCUCGAAAGGGCAGGCAAUCGGUUUCCGGAUCAGCCGUCCGGGUGGGUUGCACGAGGCGGGUGGCGACAUCCGUCCCAGAUGAAUGGCUGCCGCGCCGGGCGCAAGCCCGGCCGUACAGAACCCGGCUUACAGACCGGCUGACAUU